UAAUACGGAGGGGGCUAGCGUUGUUCGGAAUUACUGGGCGUAAAGCGCGCGUAGGCGGCUUAUCAAGUUAGGCGUGAAAGGCCUGGGCUCAACCCGGGAACUGCGCUUAAUACUGGUAGACUUGAGUCCGGGAGAGGGUGGCGGAAUUCCCAGUGUAGAGGUGAAAUUCGUAGAUAUUGGGAAGAACACCAGUGGCGAAGGCGGCCACCUGGCCCGGUACUGACGCUGAGGCGCGAAAGCGUGGGGAGCAAACAGGAUUAGAUACCCUGGUAGUCCACGCCGUAAACGAUGAGUGCUAGGUGUUGGCGGGCCUGCCCGUCAGUGCCGCAGCUAACGCGUUAAGCACUCCGCCUGGGGAGUACGGCCGCAAGGUUA
rnacentral:rRNA from 1 species